UGGGGAAUAUUGGACAAUGGGGGGAACCCUGAUCCAGCCAUGCCGCGUGUGUGAAGAAGGCCUUAUGGUUGUAAAGCACUUUAAGCGAGGAGGAGGGUACUGGUAUUAAUACUACCAGGUACUGGACGUUACUCGCAGAAUAAGCACCGGCUAACUCUGUGCCAGCAGCCGCGGUAAUACAGAGGGUGCGAGCGUUAAUCGGAUUUACUGGGCGUAAAGCGUGCGUAGGCGGCUAAUUGAGUCGGAUGUGAAAUCCCCGAGAUUAACUGGGGAAUUGCAUUCGAUACUGGUUAGCUAGAGUGUGGGAGAGGAUGGUAGAAUUCCAGGUGUAGCGGUGAAAUGCGUAGAGAUCUGGAAGAAUACCGAUGGCGAAGGCAGCCAUCUGGCCUAACACUGACGCUGAGGUACGAAAGCAUGGGGAGCAAACAGG
rnacentral:rRNA from 1 species